UGAGGGAUAUUGGUCAAUGGGCGCAAGCCUGAACCAGCGACGCCGCGUGGGUGAAGAAGGUCUUCGGAUCGUAAAGCCCUUUUCCCACUGAAGAGGAAGGACGGUAGGUGGGGAAGAAGUCUCGGCUAACUACGUGCCAGCAGCCGCGGUAAAACGUAGGAGGCGAGCGUUAUCCGGAUUUACUGGGCGUAAAGCGCGUGCAGGCGGAUUGGAGAGUUGGAUGUGAAAGCUCCCGGCUUAACUGGGAGAGAUCGUUCAAUACUUCCAGUCUUGAGUGCAGUAGAGGGAAGUGGAAUUCCGGGUGUAGUGGUGAAAUGCGUAGAUAUCCGGAGGAACACCAGUGGCGAAAGCGGCUUCCUGGACUGUAACUGACGCUCAGACGCGAAAGCUAGGGUAGCAAACG
rnacentral:rRNA from 1 species